AACAAAAAAAAAUCCCAGUAAAAUGCUUACUUGCUAAUUGAUUUGACCUAAUUUUGAUUUAUGAGUUGGUGAAAAAAGUGAGGAAUUUGGCAUUUUCUUCUUUUGCACUCACCAAGUGAAUUGAGUAUUCUGACAACAUCAAUGCCAGCUCCUGGGAUUUUUUUUUGUCAAAUGCUUGCGCUUGUCCUUUAAUUUUAUCGAUGAAGUAGCUACCUGGUGAUUUCCAAAUUAUUCAAGCUUGCCUCCAAGCUUAAAGCAGCAAAUAUCUUAUUAAAAUUCUCCAUUGUG
rnacentral:misc_RNA from 1 species